rnacentral:misc_RNA from 1 species
UGAACAAAAUCUGACACAACACAAGGUCAAAACUACGAUAAAAACAUGUGGAAUGUAUAAAAAGAUUUAAGUCGUGACUCUCGUCGAUAAUAUGAUGGUUAAGUUCGCGUAAUUUAAGAAACAUUCGUGCACAUAAAAUGUUUAUGUGAUAAGGUGUACUUAACUUGAAAUUGUUUACUUAGAAAUAAAUUGUACAAAAUGAUAGAAGGGUACGGAGCCGUGACCCAGGCCCUUCUAGGGACCCUUCUGACGUGGGGAUUAACUGCUGUGGGGGCCGGUUGUGUAUUCUUUAUAAGGGGAAAACAUAGGAAAUUACUUGACGUGUCACUGGGUUUCGCGGCGGGGGUGAUGACCGCAGCGUCAUAUUGGUCUCUGCUGGAGCCAGCCAUCAAUAUGUGUAAAAAGUCAAAUAAAUAUGGAUCAGAGGGACAGUAUGCCUUCCUACCAGUUGCAUUUGGAUUCCUGUUUGGAGCAGUGUUUGUUUUUGGAACUGAUAAGUUCCUGGAUUACUUAGGAAUCAACUCCACUGGCAUGAUGAUCACUAUAACAAAGAGUAAAGACUCAAAGGAGAAGUUGGAGGACCUAGAGAUGAUGACGGCGUUGAACCGGCGGCCGUCGAACAACACGAGUGUCGUGACCAUGGACCCGCAGCCGGCAGACUUCGCCGACUGCAUCAGCAACCAGCACACGGCGCAGCGGAGAAGAGGACAUCACCACUCGCACCACUCGCUGAAAGCUGGUGAGAAUGGCGAAGGUGACCGGCGAGACAGCGUCACGAGGUCGCUAGAAGCGCGCCAGUCGCAAUGGAAGCGAAUCAUGCUUCUCGUAGUUGCGAUCACCGUACAUAAUAUUCCCGAGGGGCUCGCCGUUGGCGUGUCGUUCGCCGCAGCCGGCUCAUCCGACGAGGCGAACUUUCACACAGCCAGAAAUCUGGCGCUAGGCAUCGGCAUCCAGAACUUCCCUGAGGGGCUGGCUGUCAGCUUGCCGCUACAAGCUGCUGGCUUCUCCGUCUGGAGAGCAUUCUGGUACGGCCAGCUCUCCGGCAUGGUGGAGCCGGUGUUCGGCGUGCUGGGUGCCGUUGCGGUGGCCGCGGCACAGCCGGCACUGCCGUACGCGCUGGCCUUCGCUGCCGGUGCCAUGAUAUACGUCGUGGCGGACGACAUCAUACCAGAAGCUAAUGCAUCUGGUAACGGCAAGCUGGCGACCUGGGGCUGCAUCAUCGGCUUCGUGGUCAUGAUGUGCCUGGACGUGGGGCUCGGCUAAGCGCACCCCGUCCCCUCACGCCGUGCCUUCGUCACCCGACUACAUGCUGACUAGUAUUAACGAAAUGAGGUAUCCCUUCUAAGUUAAGAUGUAGAUAUUUUUGUAUUAACUCAAAUGUGCUCAUCAGCGUUCGAUUUUGGAUACAUAAUAGGAAUGUAUUUAUUAUCACAUGUGUCAAUUGACUGAAAAAUUAUAUAAUCACAAAAUGUGUUCUUAAAACAAUCAAAUCAAAACUUUGAAAUCGGAAUGUUUCAAUAAUUUAAUUGCAUAAUGAAGCGAUCUCAAGUUUUAGCCGGUCAUUAAAAGGUUAAGAAUCCAUUGGUCGAAAUAGUUGCGCGGCACAGACUACAGGCUAGUGUGUACGUGUCUCUGAUUUUGUACGUUUUCUAUAAUUGGUUGUAUUCAGUCGUCUAAUUGGCUCGCUACAGGUAGCGGCACUGGACAAACGCCGAUGAUACUUAAUAAACUAUGCCUUGUAUAUUAGAAGGAAAGUCUCCGUGUAAAUGUUGUUCUAUUGAUGACGUGAAUGUCAAUAGUAUCCAAAAUCAUUUGUGUACAUUAUUAUACAGAUUAUAAGUGAAAUUUUUAGGCUUAGAUACUUAUGUCGACUCCCGAACUUAGUAAUACGUUACUAAUUAAUUAUUGAGUAAAGUUUGUUAUAUAAUGUGGAUCAUUCCUACUUACCUUCCUACAUACUAUACCUAUAUCGAAAUGUUUUAAAUAACUUCUGUUCAGCAACUCCUAUAUCAGAAUCGAUAUGAACCUUUAUCUCAACUUUGAAAUAAGAAAAAAGAUGUGUAAUAUAUCUGUGGCAAUGUUUAUUUACUAAAAGGUGGAAUUCGUUGUAAAUAUGUAAAGUGUAUGAUAUGUAGUGGUGCAUGUGCAUAGUUUCUUCUCGAAGCAGCUACUGAAUGUUAUGAACAAACCUUGUAAGUCGCAUCCAUUGGUUACAAGUUUCACAAGUGAAUAUUUCUUUUGAAAUAUACAAUAUAUACCUAAUCAUAAUCGCUGUAUGUAUAAAAAUAAUAUUGACUUAAUGAAAUACAAUUCCUGUAUUUGUACAUUCACAACAGGUUUCAAUAGUAUAUUUUGACAACUGUAAAUACCAGAAAGUGUCUAUCAGAAUUUAGAAUCAUCGAUUGCGUCUCGAACUUACCAAUUAGAGAAAUCCGUAUGUAGCUAGCUACAUAACACUGUAUUCAGCAAAUAGAUAUAUAAAAAAAUAACUGAAAGUCUGACUUCUGUUCGUUUAUUUUCCCGAUACAUAAACAAUAUAUUCAUGGACCUACGCCGCUCCUAUUAGAUUAAUGGUCUGUUCAAAAUAUCUGAGAACGUAUAAGUAAUACAUAGGGACAUACAUUUAUGAUUAAAUAAAUGAAAGCUUUAUCCCACGCUAGGUGGUCAAAUGUAUAAUUCCAAAAAUGAUAUUAACGUGUUAUAUAUCAAAGUAUUGUUUAAGUAUCUGUAAGAUAUUUGUGGUAUUCCGGUUAUUUUGGUUAGCGUAGAUAAAUUUAUUGAGUAGUUACGAAUUCCACCUGUUCCUGCGCCCGGGUGCUGUCGCACUAUUUAUUAGUUUCACUUUAAUUUAGUCACAUUUUACUGCGAUUACAUUAUUCAGGAGUAUUUUAUUGAUUGUAAGCCAACGUUUUAAGGCCUGUGCAUGUCAGCUAGUCGCCGACGCAGUAACGCGAACGCAUAAAUAUGCAUGUUCCCAGUUAAGUCAAUUAAGUCAAUGAUUUCACUGUUCAAAAUAGCUGUGACAGACCUUUCUAUUCACAGAACUUAACAAUUCCUUAAACUAUGUCUGUGCGGGAUUCUUCGAAAACAACGCUUGUUUUAUGAACGAGCUAGACGAUUGCAUUCCAGAUACGAUUUCGUAAAACUAUCCGAAUGGACGGUGACAGACACAGGCCUUAUUUGAAAUUUUAAUGAUACCUAUAGUAUAAAAAAUAAAAGACAAUAUGAAUUUAUUAUAAGACAUGAAAAAGCCUAAUUUAUAUUCAGAAUUUGAAAUUGUACAUAACACCACAUUUUACAGAACUGGGUAAAUAGUGAGGGGUGAGCUCCUCUGGUUUUGUUCGAAGAUAAUGUAAAAAUUCAUACUAAACUCUUGAACAAUCAUAACUGUAAAUUAGCCUUCAAUCAAAAUAUGCACGCACUUCUUAUAUUUAGCUAUGACGGAGCUCAGUACCUUAGCGCAUGUAAUUAGGCCAUAGAUUAUUCCAAAAAAAGAUUAUGAAUUUUUGAAUUAUUUUUAGAUUUUAAUUACUGAAUUUAUAUUUAUGUGCUUCCAAAGUAUACGUAGUUUUUAUGUGAAUUUAAAGUGUUUAUUUUGCAUUUAUUCAUUCAUCGUCAGGUUACCUUGUCACAAUAGCACAAUUUUAGACCGAAUUCAUUGUUACUUAAGAUUACUUUUGUUUUUAUAUAAUACAAAAUGCAGUGUCA